rnacentral:rRNA from 1 species
GACGAACGCUGGCGGCGUGCUUAACACAUGCAAGUCGAACGGAAAGGCCCUGCUUUUGUGGGGUGCUCGAGUGGCGAACGGGUGAGUAACACGUGAGUAACCUGCCCUUGACUUUGGGAUAACUUCAGGAAACUGGGGCUAAUACCGGAUAGGAGCUCCUGCUGCAUGGUGGGGGUUGGAAAGUUUCGGCGGUUGGGGAUGGACGCGCGGCUUAUCAGCUUGUUGGUGGGGUAGUGGCUUACCAAGGCUUUGACGGGUAGCCGGCCUGAGAGGGUGACCGGCCCCAUUGGGACUGAGAUACGGCCCAGACUCCUACGGGAGGCAGCAGUGGGGAAUAUUGCACAAUGGGCGGAAGCCUGAUGCAGCAACGCCGCGUGCGGGAUGACGGCCUUCGGGUUGUAAACCGCUUUCGCCUGUGACGAAGCGUGAGUGACGGUAAUGGGUAAAGAAGCACCGGCUAACUACGUG